ACGUAGGUGGCAAGCGUUGUCCGGAAUCAUUGGGCGUAAAGCGCGCGUAGGUGGCUUGUCAGGUCUGAUGUGAAAACUUGGGGCUCAACCCCAAGCGUGCAUCGGAAACCGGCUUGCUAGAGUCUGGGAGAGGAGAGUGGAAUUCCUGGUGUAGCGGUGAAAUGCGUAGAUAUCAGGAGGAACACCGGUAGCGAAGGCGGCUCUCUGGAACAGUACUGACACUGAGGCGCGAAAGCUAGGGGAGCGAACAGG
rnacentral:rRNA from 1 species